rnacentral:rRNA from 1 species
UACAGAGGGUGCGAGCGUUAAUCGGAAUUACUGGGCGUAAAGCGUGCGCAGGCGGUUGUGCAAGACAGAUGUGAAAUCCCCGGGCUCAACCUGGGAAUUGCAUUUGUGACUGCACGGCUAGAGUGUGUCAGAGGGGGGUAGAAUUCCACGUGUAGCAGUGAAAUGCGUAGAGAUGUGGAGGAAUACCGAUGGGCGAAAGGCAGCCCCCCUGGGGAUAACACUGACGCUCAUGCACGAAAGCGUGGGGAGCAAACAGG